GAUGAACGCUGGCGGCGUGCCUAAUACAUGCAAGUCGAGCGAACGGACGAGAAGCUUGCUUCUCUGAUGUUAGCGGCGGACGGGUGAGUAACACGUGGAUAACCUACCUAUAAGACUGGGAUAACUUCGGGAAACCGGAGCUAAUACCGGAUAAUAUUUUGAACCGCAUGGUUCAAAAGUGAAAGACGGUCUUGCUGUCACUUAUAGAUGGAUCCGCGCUGCAUUAGCUAGUUGGUAAGGUAACGGCUUACCAAGGCAACGAUGCAUAGCCGACCUGAGAGGGUGAUCGGCCACACUGGAACUGAGACACGGUCCAGACCCCUACGGGAGGCAGCGUUAGGGAAUCUUCCGCAAUGGGCGAAAGCCUGACGGAGCAACGCCGCGUGAGUGAUGAAGGUCUUCGGAUCGUAAAACUCUGUUAUUAGGGAAGAACAUAUGUGUAAGUAACUGUGCACAUCUUGACGGUACCUAAUCAGAAAGCCACGGCUAACUACGUG
rnacentral:rRNA from 1 species